UCCUCUGGAAACAUACCAAGAUACAAGAAGCAUGUCUUGAGGUGGUGAGGAAGAUUUUUAUAGCUAAGGUUCAAGAUCUAUCUCAUUGCUUCCAAGGAGCUCGACAUCAUCAAGCUUGCCCAAACUGUUUGGUCUCGUCUGACCUUCGAAGAAGUAAAGCCGGGGAUGACGCGCUUGGUUGGUGCAUCCCUGAUUUCAGGUGCUUAACCUUUAUAUUCUUGGCUUAGGUUCCCCAGUAGAACUUGCUUCUGUUCUAUGGGGCACCCUUAGUUAAGUUGAAUGUGUGGAUGUUUUAUGCUUGUCAUAUGGAAAAUGAACAUCAACCUGUUUUUUUA